rnacentral:misc_RNA from 1 species
AAGUCGUAACAAGGUUUCCGUAGGUGAACCUGCGGAAGGAUCAUUAACACGUUAUCCACGUAUCACCACCGAGAACCGUUUAACCUACCUCUGGCAGAAUGAACAGCGUAGCAUGAAUAGAGUGAUUGGAAGGGUCAGCUUCACGGCGCCAGGCUUUAUUUGCUCUCUGCAGUUGCUUCGGCAGCUGCCGUCUGUUGUAUCUUACCCAGUUGGCCCCCCUCAGCGAGCAGCUCUCCUUCCAUGAGAUGAGCGCUGGGAACAUAUUCACAAAAUUAACCCAUUUUUGCUAGUUGACUUUUAUAUGUUGUUUAUUUUCUUGCUUCGGCAAUGGAGAUAUGCACACGUUUAAUUAUUUGAACGUUAAAAAUACAACUCUUAGCAAUGGAUAUCUAGGUUCUC